UACGUAGGGUCCGAGCGUUGUCCGGAAUUACUGGGCGUAAAGAGCUCGUAGGUGGUUUGUCGCGUUGUCCGUGAAAACUCACAGCUCAACUGUGGGCGUGCGGGCGAUACGGGCAGACUGGAGUACUGCAGGGGAGACUGGAAUUCCUGGUGUAGCGGUGAAAUGCGCAGAUAUCGGGAAGAACACCCGUGGCGAAGGCGGCUCUCUGGAACGAUACUGACGCUGAGACGCGAAAGCGUGGGGAGCGAACAGG
rnacentral:rRNA from 1 species